rnacentral:rRNA from 1 species
GACGAACGCUGGCGGCGUGCUUAACACAUGCAAGUCGAACGGAAAGGCCCUGCUUGCAGGGUGCUCGAGUGGCGAACGGGUGAGUAACACGUGGGUGAUCUGCCCCUUACUUUGGGAUAAGCCUGGGAAACUGGGUCUAAUACUGGAUAGGACCAUGCUGUAGGUGGUGUGGUGGAAAGAUUAGUUUCGGUAAGGGAUGAGCUCGCGGCCUAUCAGCUUGUUGGUGGGGUAAUGGCCUACCAAGGCGUCGACGGGUAGCCGGCCUGAGAGGGUGGACGGCCACAUUGGGACUGAGAUACGGCCCAGACUCCUACGGGAGGCAGCAGUGGGGAAUAUUGCACAAUGGGCGCAAGCCUGAUGCAGCGACGCCGCGUGGGGGAUGACGGCCUUCGGGUUGUAAACUCCUUUCAGCCAUGGCGAAGCCCUUGUGGUGACGGUAGUGGUAGGAGAAGCACCGGCUAACUACGUG